UGCGCAGGCGGGCUCAUAAGUCGGGGGUUAAAUCCCAUGUGCUUAACACAUGCAUGGCUUCCGAUACUGUGAGUCUGGAGUCUCGAAGAGGAAGAUGGAAUUUCCGGUGUAACGGUGGAAUGUGUAGAUAUCGGAAAGAACACCAGUGGCGAAGGCAGUCUUCUGGUCGAGAACUGACGCUCAGGCACGAAAGCGUGGGGAGCAAACA
rnacentral:rRNA from 1 species